UACCCGGUGGUGUAAUUGGCAACACCUCAGCUUUUGGUGCUGAAAUUUCUGGUUCGAGUCCAGACCGGGUAG
rnacentral:tRNA from 3 species